AGCUUCCUCUCUCUUUCCCUCAAUCCUCUCCCUUCUCUCUACACUCUUUCACCGUCGGCGACGGCGCCGCCGCCGUCGCUCCUCAUCCUCCUUCCUUUUUUCUUCUUCUUCUCUGCCUCCGCCUCCGGCGGCGUCCCCUCACUUUUUUCCUUUCCUUCUUUUCUCUCUUCUUCUUCUUCCUCUCCGCCUCCGGCGACGCCGCCCCUAUUUUUCUUCUAUUUUUUCUCCGGCGACGGCGGUAGAGCCGCCGCCGCCUCCAUCUCCUUCUCUUUUACUUCCUCGCCGACGGCGACGGUCGCCGCCGCCUCCGCCUCCUCUCUUCUCCCACAACGAAAAAGGAAGGAAAAAAAAAGGAAGAAAAG
rnacentral:lncRNA from 1 species